UACGAAGGGUGCAAACGUUGCUCGGAAUUAUUGGGCGUAAAGCGCACGUAGGCGGCUUUGUAAGUCGGAUGUGAAAUCCCUCGGCUUAACCAAGGAAGUGCAUCCGAAACUACAGAGCUUGAGUACUUAAGAGGAUCGCGGAAUUCCCGGUGUAGAGGUGAAAUUCGUAGAUAUCGGGAGGAACACCAGUGGCGAAGGCGGCGUCUGGGAAGAUACUGACGCUGAGGUGCGAAAGCGUGGGGAGCAAACAGG
rnacentral:rRNA from 1 species